GGUUUCUCUAAUUCUAGAUUCCAAUUGCAAGCAUGGGAAUGCCAGGUAACACACAAGAAAUUUAAAAAAUUUAAUAAAUACUGAAGCAUAUUUACACAAUAAAUGUCACUUAGACCAAUAUAAUGAUAGACCAGUCAUGGCAGUCAAGAUGGAAAAGUAGACAGCAAAAGCAAGAAAAAAACUAACUUUCAAGCCAAAAAAUGUUACCAUGAAGAGGAAGCAAGCCAGAAUGAAGGUUAUAGGCUUGUAGCAGCUAAACAUAUGCUGGUAAAGACUUAAAACUAAUACACUAAGCACAUUAUAGAACACCCAAUCCUACACAGACUGACGCGCUAAAAAUCCAUGUCUUUCCAGUGUUAUAAAAAAACAAGAGCAGACAAUUAAAGUUCAAGCAUGUUUAGCAACUCAUAGCCUCUGUGUUUAGUAUGUGUCCCAAGUAUAUAAGGUGUAUAAGGUGCAAGUUUUCGGUAUGUAUCCUUAGUGUCCAAUGCGAUUUAUCAGUGAAGAAACCAACUAACCUUGUCAAUAACAUAGCCUAUGCUGCUACCUCUAAAUAAAUUUCUCCUCUAUAAUUUUCAUUGCUAAAGGAGCAGAGCAAGUGCGAAUAGUUUCAGUAGUUGAUCGUGUCCCAAUUUUGCGAGCCAUAAGUAGAGAAGUGUUGGGGGAUUGACAUGUAUGAAAUAGGGGAGAGUUGACCUAUUGGAGAUCAGGCCAUUUUAGUGUGGGCCAUCUGUGAAGAAUUCUCCAUUUUAAUACAGAAGGUAUGAUUAUACUAAGCUUUAAACUAUGAACUCAAUAGGCAUACAUAUUCAUUUGUCUCACACAUGUACUGAACAUAAGCCAGAGACGCAUAUUAGAAAAACUUCAUCUGAGAUACCUUACUAUAGCUGUUGUAUGAGUUAUUAAUUUGAACUUUUCCAAGGCACUGCAAAAUGUUUAUAUCGAAUAUUAUUGAAACUAGUAAAUGGGGAAGAGUGCUUGAGUUUCUUAAACAAGGAGAAAUUUGCAAUUCUUGACAUCUAGUAUAAGCCUAGUACAGAAGCAGGGAUGCAGUUCCAUAAUGCUAA
rnacentral:lncRNA from 1 species